AUUGAACGCUGGCGGCAGGCCUAACACAUGCAAGUCGAGCGAGCGGCGGACGGGUGAGUAAUGUAUGGGAAACUGCCCGAUAGAGGGGGAUAACUACUGGAAACGGUAGCUAAUACCGCAUACCAUCGGAUGUGCCCAUAUGGGAUUAGCUAGUAGGUGGGGUAACGGCUCACCUAGGCGACGAUCCCUAGCUGGUCUGAGAGGAUGACCAGCCACACUGGAACUGAGACACGGUCCAGACUCCUACGGGAGGCAGCAGUGGGGAAUAUUGCACAAUGGGCGCAAGCCUGAUACAGCCAUGCCGCGUGUGUGAAGAAGGCCUUAGGGUUGUAAAGCACUUUCAGCGGGGAGGCGUUACCCGCAGAAGAAGCACCGGCUAACUCCGUGCCAGCAGCCGCGGUAAUUC
rnacentral:rRNA from 1 species